GACGAACGCUGGCGGCGUGCUUAACACAUGCAAGUCGAACGAUGAAAGCGGAGCUUGCUCCGCUGGAUUAGUGGCGAACGGGUGAGUAACACGUGGGCAACCUGCCCCAGACUCUGGGAUAACUCCUCGAAAGAGGUGCUAAUACCGGAUACGAACUCCUUGGGCAUCCUUGGAGCUGGAAAGUUUUUCGGUCUGGGAUGGGCCCGCGGCCUACCAGCUUGUUGGUGGGGUAGUGGCCCACCAAGGCGACGACGGGUAGCCGGCCUGAGAGGGCGAACGGCCACACUGGGACUGAGACACGGCCCAGACUCCUACGGGAGGCAGCAGUGGGGAAUCUUCCGCAAUGGACGAAAGUCUGACGGAGCAACGCCGCGUGAGUGAUGAAGGCUUUCGGGUCGUAAAACUCUGUUGUUAGGGAAGAACAAGUGCUAGUUGAAUAAGCUGGCACCUUGACGGUACCUAACCAGAAAGCCACGGCUAACUACGUGCCAGCCGCCGCUGUAA
rnacentral:rRNA from 1 species